rnacentral:rRNA from 1 species
UAAUACGGAGGAUGCAAGCGUUAUCCGGAUUCAUUGGGUUUAAAGGGUGCGUAGGCGGGAUAAUAAGUCAGUGGUGAAAGCCUACAGCUUAACUGUAGAACUGCCAUUGAUACUGUUAACCUUGAGUACAAUUGAAGUGGGCGGAAUGUGUCAUGUAGCGGUGAAAUGCUUAGAUAUGACACAGAACACCGAUAGCGAAGGCAGCUCACUAAACUGUAACUGACGCUGAGGCACGAAAGCGUGGGGAUCAAACAGG